CGGAGCGUAGCGCAGUCUGGUAGCGCACUCGCCUGGGGGGCGAGGGGGCGGAGGUUCAAAUCCUCUCGUUCCGACCA
rnacentral:tRNA from 2 species